rnacentral:rRNA from 1 species
UACGAAGGGUGCAAGCGUUACUCGGAUUUACUGGGCGUAAAGAGCGCGCAGGCGGUCGUUCAAGUCGAGUGUGAAAGCCCCCGGCUCAACUGGGGAGGGUCAUUCGAUACUGAUCGACUGGAAGGCAGGAGAGGGAAGCGGAAUUCCCGGUGUAGUGGUGAAAUGCGUAGAUAUCGGGAGGAACACCAGUGGCGAAGGCGGCUUCCUGGCCUGUUCUUGACGCUGAGGUGCGAAAGCUAGGGGAGCAAACGGG